AACGAACGCUGGCGGCAUGCCUAACACAUGCAAGUCGAACGAGACCUUCGGGUCUAGUGGCGCACGGGUGCGUAACGCGUGGGAACCUGCCCUUAGGUUCGGAAUAACUCCCCGAAAGGGGUGCUAAUACCGGAUAAUGUCUUCGGACCAAAGAUUUAUCGCCUUUGGAUGGGCCCGCGUUGGAUUAGCUAGUUGGUAGGGUAAAAGCCUACCAAGGCGACGAUCCAUAGCUGGUCUGAGAGGAUGAUCAGCCACCCUGGGACUGAGACACGGCCCAGACUCCUACGGGAGGCAGCAGUGGGGAAUAUUGGACAAUGGGCGAAAGCCUGAUCCAGCCAUGCCGCGUGAGAGAUGAAGGCCUUAGGGUUGUAAAGCUCUUUUACCCGGGAUGAUCAUGACAGUACCGGGAGAAUAAGCUCCGGCUAACUCCGUG
rnacentral:rRNA from 1 species